rnacentral:rRNA from 1 species
GAUGAACGCUGGCGGCGUGCCUAACACAUGCAAGUCGAGCGAUUCUCUUCGGAGAAGAGCGGCGGACGGGUGAGUAACGCGUGGGUAACCUGCCCUGUACACACGGAUAACAUACCGAAAGGUAUGCUAAUACGGGAUAAUGUGCUUUUAUCGCAUGGUAAAAGUAUCAAAGAUCCGGCGGUACAGGAUGGACCCGCGUCUGAUUAGCUAGUUGGUAAGGUAACGGCUUACCAAGGCGACGAUCAGUAGCCGACCUGAGAGGGUGAUCGGCCACAUUGGAACGGAGACACGUUCCAAACUCCUACGGGAGGCAGCAGUGGGGAAUAUUGGACAAGGGGCGAAAGCCUGAUGCCUCAACGCCGCGUGAGCUAUGAAGGCCUUCGGGUCGUAAAGCUCUGUAAUCAAGGAAGAUAAUGACGGUACUUGCGGAGGAAGCCCCGGCUAACUACGUGCAAGCAGCCGCCGUAAAAC